ACGCUCGACACCUACGUGAGGCAGCAGUAGGGAAUCUUCCACAAUGGACGCAAGUCUGAUGGAGCAACGCCGCGUGAGUGAAGAAGGUUUUCGGAUCGUAAAGCUCUGUUGUUGGUGAAGAAGGAUAGAGGUAGUAACUGGCCUUUAUUUGACGGUAAUCAACCAGAAAGUCACGGCUAACUACGUGUCAGCAGCCGCGGUAAUCUGAGCGGGCUGGCAAGGC
rnacentral:rRNA from 1 species